UUAGAAUUUGAUCAAGAUCUUGAAUCCUAUUUGGGAAUAGGACUAAACCCAAAACAAAGCCACCCCAUAUGAUAAUUAAUUCUCCACACCCCAUUUUUUAUCGUGAGAAACCCCAUGCCCCAUGAAGAAGCACCGCACCCCUCUCCUCUCUUCCUCCCAUGAAAAAAAAGAUGCCCUAUCUCCUCUUUAUGGUCGCCCAAAAUAAGGAGGGGGGCAUCCAAGAGUUGCACACCCC
rnacentral:lncRNA from 1 species